AGUGAACGCUGGCGGUAGGCCUAACACAUGCAAGUCGAACGGCAGCACAGGAGAGCUUGCUCUCUGGGUGGCGAGUGGCGGACGGGUGAGGAAUACAUCGGAAUCUACUCAGUCGUGGGGGAUAACGUAGGGAAACUUACGCUAAUACCGCAUACGACCUACGGGUGAAAGCAGGGGACCUUCGGGCCUUGCGCGAUUGAAUGAGCCAAUGUCGGAUUAGCUAGUUGGCGGGGUAAAGGCCCACCAAGGCGACGAUCCGUAGCUGGUCUGAGAGGAUGAUCAGCCACACUGGAACUGAGACACGGUCCAGACUCCUACGGGAGGCAGCAGUGGGGAAGAUUGGACAAUGGGCGCAAGCCUGAUCCAGCCAUACCGCGUGGGUGAAGAAGGCCUUCGGGUUGUAAAGCCCCUUUGUUGGGAAAGAAAUCCAGCUGGCUAAUACCCGGUUGGGAUGACGGUACCCAAAGAAUAAGCACCGGCUAACUUCGUGCCAGCCGCCGCAGUAA
rnacentral:rRNA from 1 species